GUGCCAGCCGCCGCGGUAAUUCCAGCUCCAAUAGCGUAUAUUAAAGUUGUUGUGGUUAAAAAGCUCGUAGUUGAACCUUGGGCCUGGCUGGCCGGUCCGCCUCACCGCGUGCACUGGUCCGGCCGGGCCUUUCCCUCUGUGGAACCCCAUACCCUUCACUGGGCGUGGCGGGGAAACAGGACAUUUACUUUGAAAAAAUUAGAGUGCUCCAGGCAGGCCUAUGCUCGAAUACAUUAGCAUGGAAUAAUAAAAUAGGACGCGCGGUUCUAUUUUGUUGGUUUAUAGGACCGCCGUAAUGAUUAAUAGGGACAGUCGGGGGCAUCAGUAUUCAACUGUCAGAGGUGAAAUUCUUGGAUCAGUUGAAGACUAACUACUGCGAAAGCAUUUGCCAAGGAUGUUUUCAUUAAUCAGGAACGAAAGUUAGGGGAUCGAAGACGAUCAGAUACCGUCGUAGUCUUAACCAUAAACUAUGCCGACUAGGGAUCGGACGGUGUUAUUCAUGACCCGUUCGGCACCUUACGAGAAAUCAAAGUGCUUGGGCUCCAGGGGGAGUAUGGUCGCAAGGCUGAAACUUAAAGAAAUUGACGGAAGGGCACCACCAGGGGUGGAGCCUGCGGCUUAAAUUUGACUCAACACGGGAAACUCACCAGGUCCAAGACACAAUAAGGAUUGACAGAUUGAGAGCUCUUUUCUUGAUUUUGUGGGUGGUGGUGCAUGGCCGUCUUAAGUGGUGGGGUGACUUGUCUGCUUAAUGCGAUAACGAACGAGACCUUAACCUGCUAAAUAGCCCGCAUUGCUCCGGCAGUGCGCUGGCUUCUAGAAGGGACU
rnacentral:rRNA from 1 species